UACGUAGGGGGCUAGCGUUGUCCGGAAUCAUUGGGCGUAAAGAGCGUGUAGGCGGCCCGGUAAGUCCGCUGUGAAAGUCGGGGGCUCAACCCUCGAAUGCCGGUGGAUACUGUCGGGCUAGAGUGCGGAAGAGGCGAGUGGAAUUCCCGGUGUAGCGGUAAUAUGCGUAGAUAUCGGGAGGAACACCAGUGGCGAAGGCGGCUGUCUGGGGUAUUGCUGACGCUGAGGCACGAAAGCCAGGGGAGCGAACGGG
rnacentral:rRNA from 1 species